CUACGGGGGGCUGCAGUGAGGAAUUUUGCGCAAUGGGGGGAACCCUGACGCAGCAACGCCGCGUGAGUGAUGAAGGCUUUCGGGUCGUAAAGCUCUGUCAAGUGGGAAGAACCUAUGCAGUGUUAAUAUCACUGUAUACUGACGAUAAAACUGAAGGAAGCACCGGCUAACUCCGUGCCAGCAGCCGCGGUAAUACGGGGGGUGCAAGCGUUAUUCGGAAUCAUUGGGCGUAAAGGGCACGUAGGCGGCUUGGUAAGUCAGAUGUGAAAGCCCGGGGCUUAACCCCGGAAGUGCAUUUGAUACUGUCAGGCUUGAGUAUGGGAGAGGGAAGUGGAAUUCCUGGUGUAGAGGUGAAAUUCGUAGAUAUCAGGAGGAACACCGGUGGCGAAGGCGACUUCCUGGACCAAUACUGACGCUGAGGUGCGAAGGCGUGGGUAGCAAACAGGAUUAGAUACCCGAGUAGUC
rnacentral:rRNA from 1 species